GAUGAACGCUGGCGGCGUGCCUAAUACAUGCAAGUCGAGCGAACGGACGAGAAGCUUGCUUUUCUGAUGUUAGCGGCGGACGGGUGAGUAACACGUGGAUAACCUACCUAUAAGACUGGGAUAACUUCGGGAAACCGGAGCUAAUACCGGAUAAUAUUUUGAACCGCAUGGUUCAAAAGUGAAAGACGGUCUUGCUGUCACUUAUAGAUGGAUCCGCGCUGCAUUAGCUAGUUGGUAAGGUAACGGCUUACCAAGGCAACGAUGCAUAGCCGACCUGAGGGGGUGAUCGGCCACACUGGAACUGAGACACGGUCCAGACUCCUACGGGAGGCAGCAGUAGGGAAUCUUCCGCAAUGGGCGAAAGCCUGACGGAGCAACGCCGCGUGAGUGAUGAAGGUCUUCGGAUCGUAAAACUCUGUUAUUAGGGAAGAACAUAUGUGUAAGUAACUGUGCACAUCUUGACGGUACCUAAUCAGAAAGCCACGGCUAACUAUGUG
rnacentral:rRNA from 1 species